UCUUCAUUUGAAGAUUCGAGCCGGACCUCGACCUACACCAAACCCCCCCAGAUUCACACUAGACAAUCCCCUGACCUCCCACGUGACCAAACCAAGCUUGGUUUGGUCCGAAUCUACCCACAAAUCCCAAAAACCCAAAUUUGAAAAAAAUUGAACCCUAGAACACAAGAAUUUAUGGAGUCUGUUUGAAUUUAAACAAAGUUUAGGGUCUAGUAGAUCCUAAUCGAAGUGUUUUCAUUCGAGAACACCUCGGUUAGGAUUUGUCCGACCUCAAAUGGGCGAAUCAAGCUCGGGCCUGGGUCAUCUGUGUUUAAAACUCUUUUGCAUUCCAGGUACACAUUUCGAAUCCCACAUUGAUGUAAACGUAACAGUUGAAAGCAUGAAAUGAAAGAUGUUGAAGAAGUUUAAUCAUUUGCCGCAAUACUUAUAGUAUAUUGAUGGACCCACGUAAUUUGCUAGUUUGUAACUCAAUAGCAUAAAACAAUAGUUAGUUCUAUACUUAACUAAAGUUUUAGUUUUCUUUA